ACAUCCACACCUCCACCUACAUCACUCUCUCCUGCGGUUCUCUCUGUGUCGUCAUUUGUUGGAUCAUUCUGUUUUGUGGUUCUACUGGUGUUACUGGUUCUGCUGGUGAGACGAUGUGUUCACAGGAAACCUGAAGAGAGUGAAGCAGCUGCAGUUGAUCCAUCACAGAGAACUGAAUAUGUCAGUUAUUGACUAAAAACCAUCAGAACAUGGUCCAGACUUUAAACCAGAGCCAGACAUUGUCUACUCUUCACUGAAGUAGUCCACCAGUCCAACCACUGAUGUCCAGCUGCUGGUCUCUAACUGGUCCCCCCAGCACCUCAGACCAGAG